UCUGUAAAUAUACUAACUCAUUUUGUCUUUUCAACAAUCCUGUGAAAUAGAUACUAACAUUAUCCUCAUUUUCUAGAUGGGGAACCUAAAGCACAGAGAGGUUAAAUGACUAGCUUAAGAUCACACAGCCAGUAAACAGCAAAGCUAGUCUGGUUCCAGUACCUGUACUCUUCAAUGCUGGUUAAACUCAAUCUCCAUGACAACUGAAGAGAAUAUGCUUACAUCAUAUAUUUUCCUUAGCAUCCAUUGCAUUUGAGAAGAGUACAGAUUACUUCUGAAAGACACUCUAAAAUCUUAGAGGCAGCAGGUUGUUAUUCUUGGAAGACAAGCACUUUCUUAUCUGAAUGUAAUUAUACAGUUUGAACAUUUUUCACAUAUUAAGCUUUGUGUUCGUAUAGUUGACUUUAUUUCUUCUCCUUUGUGUGCGUGAAGCAGCCAAGUUUCAAAUUAUAUCCUGAAACUGAGGUGGCUUCAUCUGGAUUUUAUAAUGAAGCCUUUGCUGAGUUCUAUCAAACACGUGGAGACAUCGAGGAAGAGGCCAAAGUGGAAAUGAACCUGAUGGGAAACUUCAUCUUCCUUUUGGAAGAUAUUAUUAAGGUUUGCAUUGGAGCCCAAGUCCAGAGAAGGCUGAAGUCUGAAUUCCUGUGCAGACCGUGGACCAUAUCAUCACAGGGUGGGCCUCCUGUGUUGCCUGACCUGGCUGGCUCUCCAAGAAUAACUUCCCUCCACUUAUCUGAAGUCACGUGGAUGUUGAUCAAGGACGAUGGCUGUGCCUGUAACAUGAGAGGAGUGGGCUGCUGA
rnacentral:lncRNA from 1 species